UACGUAGGGGACAAGCGUUGUCCGGAUUUACUGGGCGUAAAGGGCACGCAGGCGGUUUUUUAAGUCAGAUGUGAAAGGUACCGGCUCAACCGGUGACAUGCAUUUGAAACUGCUGAGCUUGAGUGCAGGAGAGGCAAGUGGAAUUCCUAGUGUAGCGGUGAAAUGCGUAGAUAUUAGGAGGAACACCGGUGGCGAAGGCGGCUUGCUGGACAAAUACUGACGCUGAGGUGCGAAAGCGUGGGGAGCAAAC
rnacentral:rRNA from 2 species